rnacentral:rRNA from 1 species
UGGAGGACGCCUUUCGGGUGUAAACCACUGUUGCCCGGGACGGAAUAUCCUCUUUGAGAGGAUUGACGGUACCGGGUGAGGAAGCACCCGGCUAACUCCGUGC